UACAUGGGGUGCAAACGUUGCUCGGAAUUAUUGGGCGUAAAGCGCGCGUAGGCGGUUACUCAAGUCGGAUGUGAAAGCCCUCGGCUUAACUGAGGAAGUGCACCCGAAACUGAGUAGCUAGAGUACUAAAGAGGGUCGCGGAAUUCCCGGUGUAGAGGUGAAAUUCGUAGAUAUCGGAAGGAACAUCAGUGGCGAAAGCGGCUUCCUGGACCAGUACCGACGUCAGGCACGAAAGCGUGGGGAGCAAACAGG
rnacentral:rRNA from 1 species